AGCGAACGCUGGCGGCAGGCUUAACACAUGCAAGUCGAGCGCCCCGCAAGGGGAGCGGCAGACGGGUGAGUAACACGUGGGAACGUACCCUUUGGUUCGGAACAACCCAGGGAAACUUGGGCUAAUACCGGAUAAGUCCGCGAGGAGAAAGAUUUAUCGCCGAAGGAUCGGCCCGCGUCUGAUUAGCUAGUUGGUGUGGUAACGGCGCACCAAGGCGACGAUCAGUAGCUGGUCUGAGAGGAUGAUCAGCCACACUGGGACUGAGACACGGCCCAGACUCCUACGGGAAGCAGCAGUGGGGAAUAUUGGACAAUGGGGGCAACCCUGAUCCAGCCAUGCCGCGUGAGUGAUGAAGGCCCUAGGGUUGUAAAGCUCUUUCGGUGGGGAAGAUAAUGACGGUACCCACAGAAGAAGCCCCGGCUAACUUCGUG
rnacentral:rRNA from 1 species